GACGAACGCUGGCGGCGUGCCUAAUACAUGCAAGUCGAGCGAAGUUUUUCUGGUGCUUGCACUAGAAAAACUUAGCGGCGAACGGGUGAGUAACACGUAAAGAACCUGCCUCAUAGACUGGGACAACUAUUGGAAACGAUAGCUAAUACCGGAUAACAGUAUUUCUCGCAUGCGAGAUAUUUAAAAGUUGGUUAUGCUAACAAUAUGAGAUGGCUUUGCGGUGCAUUAGCUAGUUGGUGGGGUAAAGGCCCACCAAGGCGACGAUGCAUAGCCGACCUGAGAGGGUGAUCGGCCACACUGGGACUGAGACACGGCCCAGACUCCUACGGGAGGCAGCAGUAGGGAAUCUUCCGCAAUGGGCGAAAGCCUGACGGAGCAACGCCGCGUGAGUGAAGAAGGAUUUCGGUUCGUAAAGCUCUGUUGUUAGGGAAGAAUGGAUAUGUAGUAACUAUACAUGUAAGAGACGGUACCUAACCAGAAAGCCACGGCUAACUACGUG
rnacentral:rRNA from 1 species